UGAACGCUGGCGGCGUGCCUAAUACAUGCAAGUCGAGCGAACAGACGAGGAGCUUGCUCCUCUGACGUUAGCGGCGGACGGGUGAGUAACACGUGGAUAACCUACCUAUAAGACUGGGAUAACUUCGGGAAACCGGAGCUAAUACCGGAUAAUAUAUUGAACCGCAUGGUUCAAUAGUGAAAGACGGUUUUGCUGUCACUUAUAGAUGGAUCCGCGCCGCAUUAGCUAGUUGGUAAGGUAACGGCUUACCAAGGCAACGAUGCGUAGCCGACCUGAGAGGGUGAUCGGCCACACUGGAACUGAGACACGGUCCAGACUCCUACGGGAGGCAGCAGUAGGGAAUCUUCCGCAAUGGGCGAAAGCCUGACGGAGCAACGCCGCGUGAGUGAUGAAGGUCUUCGGAUCGUAAAACUCUGUUAUUAGGGAAGAACAAAUGUGUAAGUAACUAUGCACGUCUUGACGGUGCCUAAUCAGAAAGCCACGGCUAACUACGUG
rnacentral:rRNA from 1 species